CAGCGCCCCUGCUAGGAGAAGUUCUCUGUUUUCUGCCACACAAGAGGAAAACCCUUGUCUUACAUCAGGGAUGGGGAACCUGCGGUCCUCCGGAAGUCGCUGGACUCUAAACAUGAACCCUAACCUGGCUCCCAUCAACUCUGGCUGUUGGGGUUGAUGGGAAUUGUAGUCUAGAUACAUCUACCACCCCGUCGUACAUGUUGCUAACCACCUGGGAUUUACUAAGAGUACUGAGAUUAAAAAAUAAUGAUUUAAGCCUUCUGAUGGAUUAAGUGGGGGCAAAAAAUACUCCCUUUUAAUCUAAAUAGUUCGUUGACUAAAAUGUGGUGGCUGACACAAGUAAAUAAUAAUUAUGAUAACCAGGGAUUUUUUUCAGUUCGGGCACCUCUCAGGUGGGCACCAUUAUAAGAGAACAAGGGAGGUGUUCAUGGUGAGUUCAGACACCUCUUUUUCUAGAAAAAUAGCACAGAUGAUAAUGAUUCUAGUUUCAAACUGGCCGGAUAAUUUUCUCAUUUUCUUUACAGGCAUAGCACCAGAUUCAUUUGGGGGUUUCAUUUGAGCCACCUCAAACCCACCACUUUCUGUGGGAGAGGGAAAUGGAGCUUUCUGCUUUGCCGCAGAUAAUAUUAAAAAAAGGAAAAGGAAACUACACAGUUAUCUUCCCUUUUAAAUGUGAAAUUUAAACAGACAACAGAGUUCAAUGGUUGUAAAGAACUAAAGAAAGACGUCUGUGCAUUUCUCAAUUGGCCGGGAGGGUUCCACACUUACACACACAAAGAAACGAAACGGAAGGGGAAAAUUGUAGUAAUAAUAAUAAUGAUAAUAACAGAAGAAAUAAUAUUUAUUUUCUAGAUCCACAUGACAACAAUGGAAGGAAAAGAAAAAGAGAAAGAUAUAGUUUGCAUUUCUGUACAUUACAAAAAGGGAAGAAAACAAGAAAGAAAAUGCAGGAAUCCAAAAGGCACACCCCAGUCGCCCUCCCACCCAGUCCCCUGAUUUCUGCCGAGCAAGAAAUUGAACUUUUAUAUUACCACAUUUCGAACGGGAGGCUAAAGAAAAACACAGAUUGGGAUUAAAAAUGAAAAAUAAAAUAAAAGUUGCACAGGACAGCAGGAGCCGCAAUUGACAACCAAAGGAAACGUGUGUUGACUCGAGUAUUAUCAGGGAAUUUGGAGAAAAGCUGGCUCUUUUAUUCAUUUCCCGAAACAUUAAAAUACAUCCUGCUUUGUUUCCCACACUUCUGAGACAUGAAGCGCAC